CCUACGGGGGGCAGCAGUGGGGAAUAUUGGGCAAUGGGCGCAAGCCUGACCCAGCAACGCCGCGUGAAGGACGAAGGCUUUCGGGUUGUAAACUUCUUUUCUCAGGGACGAAGCAAGUGACGGUACCUGAGGAAUAAGCCACGGCUAACUACGUGCCAGCAGCCGCGGUAAUACGUAGGUGGCAAGCGUUAUACGGAUUUACUGGGUGUAAAGGGCGUGUAGGCGGGAAAGCAAGUCAGAUGUGAAAACCAUGGGCUCAACCUGUGGACUGCAUUUGACACUGUUUUUCUUGAGUACUGGGGAGGCAGACGGAAUUCCUAGUGUAGCGGUGAAAUGCGUAGAUAUUAGGAGGAACACCAGUGGCGAAGGCGGUCUGCUGGACAGCAACUGACGCUGAGGCGCGAAAGCGUGGGGAGCAAACAGGAUUAGAUACCCCUGUAGUC
rnacentral:rRNA from 1 species